rnacentral:lncRNA from 1 species
GAUGUGGUUACUGGGCAUGGUGGGGAGGGUUGGGGUUGGACUUGAGGAUCUUGGAUGUCUUUUCCAACCAUAAUGAUCCUGUGGUUCUAGGAUCUGUGGUCAGUGGGUACGGUGGGGUGGGCUGGGGUUGGACUUGGAGAUCUUGGAGGUCUUUUCCAACCAUAAUGACUCUAUGGUUCUAGGAACUGCUGUGCAGAGGUCACACCGCAGCCUGGGUGGGAUGAGCCCCGUGCUUGGGGGUUGCAAAACCAGCAGCCAGAGGGGCAGCUCAGCAACAAAGCGCCUCUUUCAUCCCAAGGAUGAAGUUGGCCAACACACACACACGGAGCAGCCCCACGCCAUCCAUCCUCCACAGCAACGUGGAGUUCAUAAUGCAUACGGUACACAUUGCAAGCGAUGCUCUAAGGACCUGCAUCCCCAAACCCCAGCGCAACAUCCCAAAACCCCUGGAGGUCCGUGAGCAUCGCAUGGCUCCUAGUGCACGCAGAGCCAUGCAAGUCCACGCUUUUGGCGCAGAGUUUCUCGUGCACGUGGUAUAAACUGGCAGCAAUGCCCUAAGGACCCGCAUUCCCAAACCCCAACGCAACAUCCCAAAGCCCUCAGAGGUCCGUGAGUGCAGCUCAGAGCCCGCAGGGCACUGCAGUGCAGCAGCACCCAGAGCCUUUGGGGGACGCAAUGCAUAUGUGGGAUAAUGGCAAUUAACAUGGCUUCAAAGCCGGCCCACGGAAGGCAUUUCAAACAGCUUCCCACCCGUCUGCUGGAGAUCAAACCGCUGCGCCGCUGACUCAUAACGCUUCAUUAGCGAUGUGCCAGCAAUUAAUUCAGCUCUUGAUGAUGUUCGGUCACUUUUAUUCGCAAGACUGUGAUUUCCAUCUCCUUUACGCCGGUUUGGCUUUAGCGUCUCCUUGGGAGCAGGUUGCAAAGCAGCAGAAGGAAGCAGGGCAGAAACUCGCUGCUUUCCAGCAUCCUCUGCUCGCUGUGAUUUCCCACAUCUUUCUUUGAAACCGGUGACUCUCGGAGGCACGGAGCUCAGCUUGGACAGGCUGCUGGGCUGAUGCAGUCUGACAGUGCUUCCACUUGGCUGCUGUGCGGAUCAAGGCGAGGAGAACGGGGAUUUUCCCUUUGAACCAGUGCUCAGCCCGCUCGCCGGGGUCACUUAACGUGGAAAAAUGUAAUUCUCCCUGGAAAUAGCCCAUCACAGUGCCACCCAGCAGAGCAGAGGGCAGUCCUGCGCAAAGCUCCGGCACGUGGCACCUCUUGGCAUCCCCCAGCCCCACCUCUCCUUGCCCAAAAGCUCCUGCCAUCAGCCCAAAUCUGCCCCAUGCAGCUGGAUGGAGCACAGGGCUGGGAUGCAAACCCUGCUGCAUGCAGCAUGGGCUGCACACACCUUCCCCUGCAGCAAGAGAGGGCCAGGAGAGCCCCUAACACCAAAGACCGCCUUGAAAAUCUGAUUUUUGCAG